GACAGAGGCCCCAAGCGUUAGGCGGAAUCACUGGGCUUAAAGCGUGUGUAGGCGGACGCCUAAGUGUCUUGUGAAAUCCCACGGCUCACCCGUGGAACUGCUGGGCAUACUGGGCGUCUUGGGCCAACUAGGGGCAGCCGGAACAAGCGGUGGAGCGGUGAAAUGCGUAGAUAUCGCUUGGAACGCCGAAGGUGAAAACAGGCUGCUGGGGUUGUGCCGACGCUGAGACGCGAAAGCCAGGGGAGCAAACGGG
rnacentral:rRNA from 1 species